UAAAAAAAAAAUAUAUAUAUAUAUAUACUAGUUGAGUGUACGUACAAAUGCACGUAACAAUUAAUUAUUUAAUAAUUAUUUUAAAUUAAUAUAAAAUUGUACAUUAUAUUUAUUCAAAAAUUUAUAAUAUUUUAAAAAAUAAAUUUAUUUAUUGGCAAAAAUUUGGAUAAGCAUAAUUUUUUUUUUCUGUUGUAGUGAUAAAAAAAAUUAAAAGUUUGUUUAAUUUUGUUAUUUAUUUUACGUAAGGAAAAAGGAAUCAAUUUUUUUUCCCGCCAAAAAAUAGGCUUGUCAAUAGACCGAAAUUUGAAAUACGUGCUUUUAUAUAUACUAGUAAAAUGUACGUGCAAAUGCACGUAAUAAUUAUUAGAAAAAUU
rnacentral:lncRNA from 1 species